UACAUGGGGUGCAAACGUUGCUCGGAAUUAUUGGGCGUAAAGCGCGCGUAGGCGGUUACUUAAGUCGGAUGUGAAAGCCCUCGGCUUAACCGAGGAAGUGCACCCGAAACUGAGUAGCUAGAGUACGAAAGAGGGUCGCGGAAUUCCCGGUGUAGAGGUGAAAUUCGUAGAUAUCGGGAGGAACACCGGUGGCGAAGGCGGCGACCUGG
rnacentral:rRNA from 1 species